rnacentral:pre_miRNA from 1 species
AGCCCUCUGUAUUCGUGCUGAGAUUUCGUCAGAGAUCAACCCGGCGUUGGAUGAUGGUACUUCCCAAAUAAGUGAAGCG